rnacentral:misc_RNA from 1 species
GGGGCUGCUCGGGUCGUUUAACGUCGAAACCAAGAGGUGGGGACGAGUGUGCAAGCUGAGCAUGGAACCGGCAGUGUUCCUCACCGCCAUCGGGCUCGCCGGGGAGCGGUUGAUCCUCGUGGGCGCGGCAGGAGAGGCCACUGCAGUUGAGAGUAUAAAGCUGUGGGAGGUGGGUCGUGAUUCACAUGGCACGACUGAGCUGAGAGAGAUAGGGGUG